AACCAUAUCCUGUUGAAACACCAGUUCACAUACAAUCACUUAAGUUAAGCAACAUUGAGCCUGGUCAGUACUUGGAUGGGUGACUGCUUGGAAAUACCAGAUAGUGCAU